rnacentral:rRNA from 1 species
CGCGUAGGCGGUUUGUUAAGUCAGCUGUGAAAGCCCCGGGCUCAACCUGGGAACUGCAGUUGAUACUGGCCGACUAGAGUACGAGAGAGGGAGGUAGAAUUCCACGUGUAGCGGUGAAAUGCGUAGAUAUGUGGAGAAAUACCGGUGGCGAAGGCGGCCUCCUGGCUCGAUACUGACGCUGAGGUGCGAAAGCGUGGGGAGCAAACA